GGGUUGUGAGGUUAAGCGACUAAGCGUACACGGUGGAUGCCCUGGCAGUCAGAGGCGAUGAAGGACGUGCUAAUCUGCGAAAAGCGUCGGUAAGGUGAUAUGAACCGUUACAGCCGGCGAUGUCCGAAUGGGGAAACCCAGUGCAAUUCGUUGCACUAUCGUUAACUGAAUACAUAGGUUAACGAGGCGAACCGGGGGAACUGAAACAUCUAAGUACCCCGAGGAAAAGAAAUCAACCGAGAUUCCCCCAGUAGCGGCGAGCGAACGGGGAGCAGCCCAGAGUCUGAAUCAGCUUGUGUGUUAGUGGAACGGUCUGGAAAGUCCGACGGUACAGGGUGAUAGUCCCGUACACCAAAAUGCACAGGCUGUGAACUCGAAGAGUAGGGCGGGACACGUGGUAUCCUGUCUGAAUAUGGGGGGACCAUCCUCCAAGGCUAAAUACUCCUGACUGACCGAUAGUGAACCAGUACCGUGAGGGAAAGGCGAAAAGAACCCCGGCGAGGGGAGUGAAAAAGAACCUGAAACCGUGUACGUACAAGCAGUGGGAGCACCUUCGGGUGUGACUGCGUACCUUUUGUAUAAUGGGUCAGCGACUUAUAUUCUGUAGCAAGGUUAACCGUAUAGGGGAGCCGCAGGGAAACCGAGUCUUAACUGGGCGUUAAGUUGCAGGGUAUAGACCCGAAACCCGGUGAUCUAGCCAUGGGCAGGUUGAAGGUUGGGUAACACUAACUGGAGGACCGAACCGACUAAUGUUGAAAAAUUAGCGGAUGACUUGUGGCUGGGGGUGAAAGGCCAAUCAAACCGGGAGAUAGCUGGUUCUCCCCGAAAGCUAUUUAGGUAGCGCCUCGUGAAUUCAUCUUCGGGGGUAGAGCACUGUUUCGGCUAGGGGGUCAUCCCGACUUACCAACCCGAUGCAAACUACGAAUACCGAAGAAUGUUAUCACGGGAGACACACGGCGGGUGCUAACGUCCGUCGUGAAGAGGGAAACAACCCAGACCGCCAGCUAAGGUCCCAAAGUCAUGGUUAAGUGGGAAACGAUGUGGGAAGGCACAGACAGCCAGGAUGUUGGCUUAGAAGCAGCCAUCAUUUAAAGAAAGCGUAAUAGCUCACUGGUCGAGUCGGCCUGCGCGGAAGAUGUAACGGGGCUAAACCAUGCACCGAAGCUGCGGCAGCGACACUAUGUGUUGUUGGGUAGGGGAGCGUUCUGUAAGCCUGCGAAGGUGUGCUGUGAGGCAUGCUGGAGGUAUCAGAAGUGCGAAUGCUGACAUAAGUAACGAUAAAGCGGGUGAAAAGCCCGCUCGCCGGAAGACCAAGGGUUCCUGUCCAACGUUAAUCGGGGCAGGGUGAGUCGACCCCUAAGGCGAGGCCGAAAGGCGUAGUCGAUGGGAAACAGGUUAAUAUUCCUGUACUUGGUGUUACUGCGAAGGGGGGACGGAGAAGGCUAUGUUAGCCGGGCGACGGUUGUCCCGGUUUAAGCAUGUAGGCUGGUUGUCCAGGCAAAUCCGGAUAAUCAAGGCUGAGGUGUGAUGACGAGGCACUACGGUGCUGAAGUAACAAAUGCCCUGCUUCCAGGAAAAGCCUCUAAGCAUCAGGUAACAUCAAAUCGUACCCCAAACCGACACAGGUGGUCAGGUAGAGAAUACCAAGGCGCUUGAGAGAACUCGGGUGAAGGAACUAGGCAAAAUGGUGCCGUAACUUCGGGAGAAGGCACGCUGGUGUGUAGGUGAAGCCCCUGCGGGUGGAGCUGAGACCAGUCGAAGAUACCAGCUGGCUGCAACUGUUUAUUAAAAACACAGCACUGUGCAAACACGAAAGUGGACGUAUACGGUGUGACGCCUGCCCGGUGCCGGAAGGUUAAUUGAUGGGGUUAUCCGUAAGGAGAAGCUCUUGAUCGAAGCCCCGGUAAACGGCGGCCGUAACUAUAACGGUCCUAAGGUAGCGAAAUUCCUUGUCGGGUAAGUUCCGACCUGCACGAAUGGCGUAAUGAUGGCCAGGCUGUCUCCACCCGAGACUCAGUGAAAUUGAACUCGCUGUGAAGAUGCAGUGUACCCGCGGCAAGACGGAAAGACCCCGUGAACCUUUACUAUAGCUUGACACUGAACAUUGAGCCUUGAUGUGUAGGAUAGGUGGGAGGCUUUGAAGCGUGGACGCCAGUCUGCGUGGAGCCAACCUUGAAAUACCACCCUUUAAUGUUUGAUGUUCUAACGUUGGCCCCUUACCGGGGUUGCGGACAGUGUCUGGUGGGUAGUUUGACUGGGGCGGUCUCCUCCCAAAGCGUAACGGAGGAGCACGAAGGUUAGCUAAUCCUGGUCGGACAUCAGGAGGUUAGUGCAAUGGCAUAAGCUAGCUUGACUGCGAGCGUGACGGCGCGAGCAGGUGCGAAAGCAGGUCAUAGUGAUCCGGUGGUUCUGAAUGGAAGGGCCAUCGCUCAACGGAUAAAAGGUACUCCGGGGAUAACAGGCUGAUACCGCCCAAGAGUUCAUAUCGACGGCGGUGUUUGGCACCUCGAUGUCGGCUCAUCACAUCCUGGGGCUGAAGUAGGUCCCAAGGGUAUGGCUGUUCGCCAUUUAAAGUGGUACGCGAGCUGGGUUUAGAACGUCGUGAGACAGUUCGGUCCCUAUCUGCCGUGGGCGCUGGAGAAUUGAGGGGGGCUGCUCCUAGUACGAGAGGACCGGAGUGGACGCAUCACUGGUGUUCGGGUUGUCAUGCCAAUGGCACUGCCCGGUAGCUAAAUGCGGAAGAGAUAAGUGCUGAAAGCAUCUAAGCACGAAACUUGCCCCGAGAUGAGUUCUCCCUGAGACUUUAAGUCUCCUGAAGGAACGUUAAAGACGAUGACGUUGAUAGGCCGGGUGUGUAAGCGCAGCGAUGCGUUGAGCUAACCGGUACUAAUGAACCGUGAGGCUUAACCUUACAACGCCGAAG
rnacentral:rRNA from 2 species